AUCGAACGCUGGCGGCAGGCCUAACACAUGCAAGUCGAGCGGAUGAAGGGAGCUUGCUCCUGGAUUCAGCGGCGGACGGGUGAGUAAUGCCUAGGAAUCUGCCUGGUAGUGGGGGAUAACGUCCGAAAACGGGCGCUAAUACCGCAUACGUCCUGAGGGAGAAAGUGGGGGAUCUUCGGACCUCACGCUAUCAGAUGAGCCUAGGUCGGAUUAGCUAGUUGGUGGGGUAAAGGCCUACCAAGGCGACGAUCCGUAACUGGUCUGAGAGGAUGAUCAGUCACACUGGAACUGGGAACCGGUCCAGCCUCCUACGGGGGGCAGCAGGGGGGAAUUUUGGAAAAUGGGCGAAAGCCUGCUCCAGCCAUGCCGCGGGUGUGAAGAAGGUCUUCGGAUUGUAAAGCACUUUAAGUUGGGAGGAAGGGCAGUAAGUUAAUACCUUGCUGUUUUGACUUUACCAACAGAAUAAGCACCGGCUAACUUCGU
rnacentral:rRNA from 1 species